UGAGCCAAGUUUAGGGUUUUCUCAAAACCCAAGCAGUAUUGAACUGAAGAGUUUGAUCAUGGCUCAGAUUGAACGCUGGCGGCAGGCCUAACACAUGCAAGUCGAGCGGAUGAGAGGAGCUUGCUCCUUGAUUUAGCG
rnacentral:rRNA from 1 species